GUCUUCUUGUUAUAUUUAGGAAGUCUGGCCUGCCCAGUGAAAAUAAUUUAACGGCCGCGGUAUAUUGACCGUGCAAAGGUAGCAUAAUCAUUAGUCUUUUAAUAGAGGGCUGGUAUGAAGGGUUUAACGAGGUGUUGACUGUCUCAUUUAAUUUGUAUUUAGAAUUUAAUUUUUUAGUUAAAAAGCUAAAAUAUUGUUGGAAGACGAGAAGACCCUAUAGAGCUUUAUAUUUUUAUUAAUAAUUUAUUGUAGGUUAUUAUUAUUUAUUAUUAAUAGAAAAUAUUUUGUUGGGGUGACAAAAAUAUAUAAAAAACUUUUUUAUUUUAUUUACAUUGAUAUAUGAUUAUUAGAUCCAAUCUUAUUGAUUGUUAGAUUAAGUUACCUUAGGGAUAACAGCGUAAUCCUCCUCCAGAGUUCAUAUUUACAGGGGGGCUUGCGACCUCGAUGUUGGAUUAAGAUAAUAAUUAGGUGCAGCCGCUUAAUUAAUAGGUCUGUUCGACCUUUAAAUUCUU
rnacentral:rRNA from 1 species